rnacentral:rRNA from 1 species
GCAUGCAAGUCGAGGGAGAACCAGUUGAUUCGUAAGAUUCGGCUGGGGAAACCGGCGAACGGGUGCGUAACACGUGAGGAACCUGCCCCGAAGACUGGGAUAGCCCGAGGAAACUCGGAUUAAUACCGGAUACCCUCUUUGGACCACAUGGUCUAUUGAGGAAAUGGUCCGCCGCUUCGGGAUGGCCUCGCGGCCUAUCAGCUUGUUGGUGAGGUAAUGGCUCACCAAGGCCGAGACGGGUAGCUGGUCUGAGAGGACGAUCAGCCACACUGGGACUGAGACACGGCCCAGACUCCUACGGGAGGCAGCAGCAGGGAAUAUUGCACAAUGGGCGAAAGCCUGAUGCAGCGACACCGCGUGCGGGAUGAAGGCCUUCGGGUUGUAAACCGCUUUCAGGAGGGACGAAAAUGACGGUACCUCCAGAAGAAGGCCCGGCCAACUACGUGCCAGCAGCCGCGGUAAUACGUAGGGGCCAAACGUUGUCCGGAUUUAUUGGGCGUAAAGGGCUCGUAGGCGGUUCAAAAAGUCGGUCGUGAAAGCCCGGGGCUCAACCCCGGGACGCCGGUCGAAACUGUUGUGACUAGGGUCCGGUAGAGGUGAGUGGAAUUCUCGGUGUAGCGGUGGAAUGCGCAGAUAUCGAGAGGAACACCGGUAGCGAAGGCGGCUCACUGGGCCGGUACCGACGCUGAGGAGCGAAGCAUGGGGAGCAACAGGAUUAGAUACCUGGUAGUCAUGCCGUAACGAUGAACACUAGGUGUGG